rnacentral:rRNA from 1 species
AACGAACGCUGGCGGCAUGCCUAACACAUGCAAGUCGAACGAAGGCUUCGGCCUUAGUGGCGCACGGGUGCGUAACGCGUGGGAAUCUGCCCUUAGGUUCGGAAUAACUGCUAGAAAUGACUGCUAAUACCGGAUGAUGUCGUAAGACCAAAGAUUUAUCGCCUGGGGAUGAGCCCGCGUUGGAUUAGCUAGUUGGUGUGGUAAAGGCGCACCAAGGCGACGAUCCUUAGCUGGUCUGAGAGGAUGAUCAGCCACACUGGGACUGAGACACGGCCCAGACUCCUACGGGAGGCAGCAGUGGGGAAUAUUGGACAAUGGGCGCAAGCCUGAUCCAGCAAUGCCGCGUGAGUGAUGAAGGCCUUAGGGUUGUAAAGCUCUUUUACCCGUGAUGAUAAUGACAGUAGCGGGAGAAUAAGCCCCGGCUAACUCCGUG